rnacentral:rRNA from 1 species
AGUGAACGCUGGCGGUAGGCCUAACACAUGCAAGUCGAACGGCAGCACAGUAAGAGCUUGCUCUUACGGGUGGCGAGUGGCGGACGGGUGAGGAAUACAUCGGAAUCUACUUUUUCGUGGGGGAUAACGUAGGGAAACUUACGCUAAUACCGCAUACGACCUACGGGUGAAAGCAGGGGAUCUUCGGACCUUGCGCGAUUGAAUGAGCCGAUGUCGGAUUAGCGAGUUGGCGGGGUAAAGGCCCACCAAGGCGACGAUCCGUAGCUGGUCUGAGAGGGUGGUCGGCCACACUGGAACUGAGACACGGUCCAGACUCCUACGGGAGGCAGCAGUGGGGAAUAUUGGACAAUGGGCGCAAGCCUGAUCCAGCCAUACCGCGUGGGUGAAGAAGGCCUUCGGGUUGUAAAGCCCUUUUGUUGGGAAAGAAAAGCAGCAGGUUAAUACCCCGCUGUUCUGACGGUACCCAAAGAAUAAGCACCGGCUAACUUCGUG